rnacentral:tRNA from 1 species
GCAUCGGUGGUCUAGUGGCGAAGACUCCGUACUCGUACUACGGCGACGUCGGUUCGACUCCGGCUCGGUGCU